GCCCCCGGGUGGGGGGACACCCCCUGCGGGCUACACCCUUCUCUAUCGGCCGAAGAACGGAGGAAAGUACACGAGAGAGGAUGUUUCCGGAGCCGAUGUUACCGCGGCGGAGAUCCAAGGACUGACGCCUGGUACAGUUUACGAGUUCCUAAUCCAAUCACACAACGCUCAGGGAAGGUCUAACUACACCUCUUCAAGUGCUCAGAUUCCAGUGCCAGGAGUUGUAAAAGAAGUUGCCAGCAGCAGCAGCAGCAGUUACAACAGUCAGCCAGGUGUUCC